rnacentral:rRNA from 1 species
AAGUAUAUGCGUUUUCGGAACGCAGAAACUGCGAACGGCUCAUUACAACAGUUAUCAUCUACUUGACAUUCCCCCUUUUAUAAGGAUACCUGCGGAAAAGCUGCAGCUAAUACUUGACCGAUGCCUCGCCUACCCUUUGUGGUGGACGGGGCGGUACUUGUUAGCUCUGCAAGAAAAAGGAAAAGAUGGGAGUGCGAACAAAGAAGCGACACGUAUAGGGGAUGUUGUUCCCUUAUGAAGUGCGGAUCAAUCGAGUUUCUGACCUAUCAGCUUUGGAUGUUAGGGUAUUGGCCUAGCAUGGCGAUGACGGGUAACGGGGAAUUGGAGUUCGAUUCCGGAGAGGGAGCCUGAGAAAUCGCUACCACAUCUAAGGAAGGCAGCAGGCGCGUAAAUUACCCAAUUCUGACCAAGAGAGGUAGUGACAAGAAAUAUCGAUACAAGGUCCUUUCGGACUUUGCAAUUGAAAUGGUGGGAAUCUAAACCCUUCCCAGAGCAGCCAUUGGAGGGCAAGUCUGGUGCCAGCAGCCGCGGUAAUUCCAGCUCCAAUAGCGUAUAUUAACAUUGUUGCAGUUAAAACGCUCGUAGUUGACCUUCAAGGGCGUGGUCUUCGGGGUCCCCGCCAGGUCCCCUCUUCGGAGGGGUACUUGGUGCGCGCGACUCCACUGCGAUGCGCCCUUUUAAAGAAUCCGCGUUGCCUUUCUGGGCGAUGUGAUUCUUUGUUACUUUGAGUAAAUUAGAGUGUUCAACGCAGGCAACUGCUCGGGGCGACCCGCUUGAAUACUACAGCAUGGAAUAACGGAAUUGAGGGAGCCAAUAGAGGUUUCUCCAUUUUUCUUGGAUUGGCUUUUUAGUACGAUUAAUAGGAGUAGCUUGGGGGCCUUCGUAUUCAGAUGUUAGAGGUGAAAUUCUUAGAUUUUCUGGAGACGAACUACUGCGAACGCAUUGGCCUAACAUACUUCCAUUAAUCAAGAACGAAAGUUAAGGGAUUGAAGACGAUCAGAUACCGUCGUAAUCUUAACCAUAAACUAUGCCGACUGGGCGUCGGGCGGGUCUCAUUGGUGUGUGGCCUCACACUAUUUCGGUAGUGUUUGGGGUCCACACCGUACGAACUCCCUCGGUACCCUGAGAGAAAUCAAAGUCUUUGGGUUCUGGGGCGAGUAUUCGCGCAAGCGAGAAAGUUAAAAGAAUUGACGGAAGGGCACCACCAGGCGUGGAGCUUGCGGCUUAAUUUGACUCAACACGGGGAACCUCACUAGUUUACGACAAGAGUAGGAUUGACACUCGGUGGUUUACCAUCGGAUUGAAGCUCUUUCUUGAUUUCUUGGUGGGUGAUGCGUGGCCGUUUUUAGUUCGUGAAAUGAUUUGUCUGGUUAAUUCCGAUAACGAACGAGAUCUCACCCUGCUCAUUAGCACCGGGUGCUAUACGUCUCAACGGUGGGUGCGACUGGCAAGCUUUGCAGAUCGUUGGAACGGGCGGUGUAUGAGGUCGGUCUAGAUGUGACUUCGAGUCUGCUAGGCGCUCUACGCUUGAUUCCUUUUCCUUCGGGUAUGCUCUGCGACGCUGGCGUGUUUGUCCGUUGGGGCGCCCCCGGGGAUACCGCUUCUUAGAGGGACUGGGGAUGUAGAAUCCUAGGAAGUUUGAGGCCACAACAGGUCUGUGAUGUCCUUAGAUGAACUAGGCUGCACGCGUGCUACACUGAUGCGUGUAGCGAGUGUUUGGGGUGGCCCGCGUUUCUCUCUUCACGGGGAGAUUCGUUGGGUGCGCCCGCCUGCUCCGAGAGGAGUGGGGAAUCUGGAGUACGCAUCGUGAUGGGGAUAGACGAUUGCAAUUAUUCGUCUUGAACGAGGAAUGCCUAGUAAGCAUGAUUCAUCAGAUUGUGCUGACUACGUCCCUGCCCUUUGUACACACCGCCCGUCGCUCCUACCGAUUGAAAGAUAUGAUGAAUUGUUCGGACUGCGCUGCGGGGGCUGUUGUCCGCGCGGGGUGGGAAGAACCGUAAAUCCUAUCUUUUAAAGGAAG